rnacentral:rRNA from 1 species
ACGGAAGGCAGCAGUGAGGAAUAUUGGACAAUGGGGGCAACCCUGAUCCAGCCAAACCGCGUGAGGGAUGAAGGUCCUACGGAUCGUAAACCUCUUUUAUGUGGGAAUAAUUAGUGGAACGUGUUCCACUUUGAAGGUACCACUUGAAUAAGCAUCGGCUAACUCCGUGCCAGCAGCCGCGGUAAUACGGAGGAUGCAGGCGUUAUCCGGAUUUAUUAGGUUUAAAGGGUGCGCAGGCGGCCCGUUAAGUCAGCGGUGAAAUGUCGGGGCUCAACCCGGGCACUGCCGUUGAAACUGGGGGGCUUGAGUACGGAUGAGGUCGGCGGAAUGUGACGUGUAGCGGUGAAAUGCAUAGAUAUGUCACAGAACACCGAUUGCGAAGGCAGCCGGCCAAUCCGCAACUGACGCUCAUGCACGAAAGCGUGGGGAUCGAACAGGAUUAGAUACCCUGGUA